GUGGUUUCACCACCUCGUCUCACCCAACCGUCGCUUCCUGCGCGUGGAAAGGGGAAGGAAGGAAGGAAGGAGGUGCCGGGGGGCCGGGGCGGGGAUGGGGCGCGGCAGGAUGGGCCCGGGGGGCUUUGGGGGGCUCUGCCUCGCCCUGCUCUGCUCGGGGGCCGCUCUCGGCUUCCAGGAAGAGGAGCCGGGGAACGGGAACGUCACCGAGGAGAUCCCGGAGGGGACACGAGACCCCCUGGAGCCACCAGAAGACCUCACCACGGCCACCGGGGACGGGGGCGGGGUGACAGCGUGGCCGAGGGCCACCACGAGUCCUCCCCGGAGCCUUGGGGACCUCACGGUGACACCGGCGAGGAACCAAACCCGAUCCUCCUCAGGUGUCCCAGCCCGGUACUGGUCCCCCGUCAUCUUCGUGGUGCUGGCCCUGCUCGUGCUCUUUGUCACCUACCAGAGGACCAAGGACAAAGGUCAGAGCCCCCUCCCAGCAACCAAAACACCAAAAACCCCAAAACUUCCAGAGGCCACAACCCCAAAAUAAUCAGAAAUUCCCCAAAAGAUCCAGAAGUCACAACCCCAAAAUAAUCAGAAAUGCCCCCCCAAAAAAUCCAGAAGUCACAACCCCAAAAUAAUCAGAAACGCCCCCAAAAGAUCCAGAAGUCACAACCUCAAAAUAAUCAGAAAUGCCCCAAAAAAAUCCAGAAGUCACAACCCCAAAACCUCCAGAGGCCACAAUCCCAAAAUAAUGAGAAAUGCCCCCAAAAGAUCCAGAAGUCACAACCCCAAAAUAAUCAGAAAUGCCCCCCAAAAAAUCCA
rnacentral:lncRNA from 1 species